rnacentral:rRNA from 1 species
AUUGAACGCUGGCGGCAGGCCUAACACAUGCAAGUCGAGCGAGCGGCGGACGGGUGAGUAAUGUCUGGGAAACUGCCUGAUAGAGGGGGAUAACUACUGGAAACGGUAGCUAAUACCGCAUACCAUCAGAUGUGCCCAGAUGGGAUUAGCUGGUAGGUGGGGUAACGGCUCACCUAGGCGACGAUCCCUAGCUGGUCUGAGAGGAUGACCAGCCACACUGGGACUGAGACACGGCCCAGACUCCUACGGGAGGCAGCAGUGGGGAAUAUUGCACAAUGGGCGCAAGCCUGAUGCAGCCAUGCCGCGUGUAUGAAGAAGGCCCUAGGGUUGUAAAGCACUUUCAGUGGGGAGGCGUUACCCGCAGAAGAAGCACCGGCUAACUCCGUGCCAGCAGCCGCGGUAAUAC